GUGCUUGUUCGCUUCCGCAGCACAGAUACUAAAAUUGGAACGAUACAGAAAAGAUUAGCAUGGCCCCUGUGCAAGGAUGACACAAAAAUUCGUGAAGCGUUUCAUAUUUUU
ensembl:snRNA U6 U6 spliceosomal RNA